UCCAGAGAACUUAGCAGAGAUGCUUUGGUGCCUUCGGGAACUCUGAGACAGGUGCUGCAUGGCUGUCGUCAGCUCGUGUUGUGAAAUGUUGGGUUAAGUCCCGCAACGAGCGCAACCCUUAUCCUUUGUUGCCAGCGGUUCGGCCGGGAACUCAAAGGAGACUGCCGGUGAUAAACCGGAGGAAGGUGGGGAUGACGUCAAGUCAUCAUGGCCCUUACGGCCAGGGCUACACACGUGCUACAAUGGCGCAUACAAAGAGAAGCGACCUCGCGAGAGCAAGCGGACCUCAUAAAGUGCGUCGUAGUCCGGAUUGGAGUCUGCAACUCGACUCCAUGAAGUCGGAAUCGCUAGUAAUCGUAGAUCAGAAUGCUACGGUGAAUACGUUCCCGGGCCUUGUACACACCGCCCGUCACACCAUGGGAGUGGGUUGCAAAAGAAGUAGGUAGCUUAACCUUCGGGAGGGCGCUUACCACUUUGUGAUUCAUGACUGGGGUGAAGUCGUAACAAGGUAAGCGUAGUGCU
rnacentral:rRNA from 1 species